ensembl:snRNA U11 spliceosomal RNA
UAUGCGUGUGUGUGUGUGUGUGUGUGUUUGUGUAUGCAUAGCUGUGGAUGGGGUGUCCUCCUGAUACAGCUACGGAAUCACUAUCAAUAGAUUUCGGAUGCACAAUUUUUAUAACCUGAAGCUGCCAGUGAUCAUUAUUCAUGGUGCCUCA